rnacentral:rRNA from 1 species
UACGAAGGGGGCUAGCGUUGCUCGGAUUGACUGGGCGUAAAGGGCGCGUAGGCGGUUCGUACAGUCAGACGUGAAUUCCUGGGCUCAACCUGGGGGCUGCGUUUGAUACGUGCGGACUUGAGUGCGGAAGAGGGUCGUGGAAUUCCCAGUGUAGAGGUGAAAUUCGUAGAUAUUGGGAAGAACACCGGUGGCGAAGGCGGCGACCUGGUCCGAUACUGACGCUGAGGCGCGAAAGCGUGGGGAGCGAACAGG